CAUCUGUCAGGGAGAAGGGAGAGAGAGGGGAGAGAGAGAGGGGAGAGAGAUGGUGAGACAAUAGAUAAGGAGGAGAGAAACAAGGUGAGGUAGGUAGAGAGCGACAUAACGGUUCACUGUGCUUGGGCAAGACACUUUGUGUCAGAGAGAGAGAGAGAGAUAGAGACACAGGGAGACCAGAUUAGACAGAGGUGGAGUGAGGACCAGUGAGAAAGGAGAGAACUGGUUAGACAGAGUUAGAGAAAGAGGAGAGAGACCUGGUUAGACAGAGUUAGAGAAAGAGGAGAAAGUUCGGGUUAGACAGAGUUAGAGAAAUAGGAGAGAGACCUGGUUAGACAGAGUUAGAGAAAGAAUAGAGAGUUUGGGUUAGACAGAGUUAGAGAAAGAGGAGAGAGACCUGGUUAGACAGAGUUAGAGAAAGAGGGGAGAGACCAGGUUAGACUGAGGUAGAGUGAGGUAGAGAGAGGAGAGACUAGGUUAGACUGAGUUAGAGAAAGUGGAGAGAGACCUGGUUAGAUAGAGUUAGAGUCAGGUAGAGUCAGGUAGAGAGAGAGUGACCAGGUUAGACUGAGGUAGAGUGAGGUAGAAAGAGAGAGGUAGAGAGAGGAGAGACCAGGUUAGACAGAGGUAGAGUAAGGUAGAGAGAGAGAGACCAGGUUAGAGUAAGGUAGAGUGAGGUAGAGAGAGAGAGGAGAGACCAGGUUAGAUAGAGUUAGAGUCAGGUAGAGUGAGGUAGAGAGAGAGAGACCAGGUUAGACUGAGGUAGAGCUAGGUAGAAAGAGAGAGGUAGAGAGAGGAGAGACCAGGUUAGACAAAGGUAGAGUGAGGUAGAGAGAGGAGAGACCUGGUUAGACAGAGGUAGAGUCAGGUAGAGAGAGGAGAGACCUGGUUAGACAGAGGUAGAGUCAGGUAGAGAGAGGAGAGACUUGGUUAGACUGAGAGAGACCAGGUUAGACAGAGGUAGAGUGAGGUAGAGAGAGAGGAGAGACCUUGUUAGACAGAGGUAGAGUCAGGUAGAGAGAGGAGAGACUAGGUUAGACUGAGAUAGAGGGUGACCAGCUUAGAGAGAGAGAGAGAGAGGGAACAGGUUACAUAGAGGUAGAGGUAGAGGUAGAAAGAGAGAACAGGUUACAGAGAGGUAGAGGUAGAAAGAGAGAACAGGUUACAGAGAGGUAGAGAGAGAGAACAGUUUACAGAGAGGUAGAGGUAGAGAGAGAGAACAGGUUCCAGAGAGGUAGAAAGAGAGAACAGGUUACAGAGAGGUAGAGGUAGAAGGAGAGUACAGGUUACAGAGAGGUAGAGGUAGAAAGAGAGAACAGGUUACAGAGAGGUAGAGGUAGAAAGAGAGAACAGGUUACAGAGAGGUAGAGGUAGAAAGAGAGAACAGGUUACAGAGAGGUAGAGGUAGAAAGAGAGAACAGGUUACAGAGAGGUAGAAAGAGAGAACAGGUUACAGAGAGGUAGAAAGAGAGAACAGGUUACAGAGAGGUAUAGGUAGAAAGAGAGAACAGGUUACAGAGAGGUAGAGGUAGAAAGAGAAAACAGGUUACAGAGAGGUAGAGAGAGAGAACAGGUUACAGAGAGGUAGAGAGAGAGAACAUGUUACAGAGAGGUAGAGAGAGAGAACAGGUUACAGAGAGGUAGAGGUAGAAAGAGAGAACAGGUUACAGAGAGGUAGAGAGAGAGAACAGGUUACAGAGAGGUAGAGGUAGAAAGAGAGAACAGGUUACAGAGAGGUAGAGGUAGAAAGAGAGAACAGGUUACAGAGAGGUAGAGGUAGAAAGAGAGAACAGGUUACAGAGAGGUAGAAAGAGAGAACAGGUUACAGAGAGGUAGAAAGAGAGAACAGGUUACAGAGAGGUAGAGGUAGAAAGAGAGAACAGGUUACAGAGAGGUAGAGGUAGAAAGAGAGAACAGGUUACAGAGAGGUAGAGGUAGAAAGAGAGAACAGGUUACAGAGAGGGAGAGGUAGAAAGAGAGAACAGGUUACAGAGAGGUAGAGGUAGAAAGAGAGAACAGGUUACAGAGAGGUAGAGAGAGAGAACAGGUUACAGAGAGGUAGAGGUAGAAAGAGAGAACAGGUUACAGAGAGGUAGAGGUAGAAAGAGAGAACAGGUUACAGAGAGGUAGAGGUAGAAAGAGAGAACAGGUUACAGAGAGGUAGAGGUAGAGAGAGAGAACAGGUUACAGAGGUAGAGGUAGAAAGAGAGAACAGGUUACAGAGAGGGAGAGGUAGAAAGAGAGAACAGGUUACAGAGAGGUAGAGAGAGAGAACAGGUUACAGAGAGGUAGAGAGAGAGAACAGGUUACAGAGAGGUAGAGAGAGAGAACAGGUUACAGAGAGGUAGAAAGAGAGAACAGGUUACAGAGAGGUAGAGAGAGAGAACAGGUUACAGAGAGGUAGAGAGAGAGAACAGGUUACAGAGAGGUAGAAAGAGAGAACAGGUUACAGAGAGGUAGAGAGAGAGAACAGGUUACAGAGAGGUAGAAAGAGAGAACAGGUUACAGAGAGGUAGAAAGAGAGAACAGGUUACAGAGAGGUAGAGAGAGAGAACAGGUUACAGAGAGGUAGAAAGAGAGAACAGGUUACAGAGAGGUAGAGAGAGAGAACAGGUUACAGAGAGGUAGAAAGAGAGAACAGGUUACAGAGAGGUAGAGAGAGAGAACAGGUUACAGAGAGGUAGAGAGAGAGAACAGGUUACAGAGAGGUAGAAAGAGAGAACAGGUUACAGAGAGGUAGAGAGAGAGAACAGGUUACAGAGAGGUAGAGAGAGAGAACAGGUUACAGAGAGGUAGAGGUAGAAAGAGAGAACAGUUUACAGAGAGGUAGAGGUAGAAAGAGAGAACAGGUUCCAGAGAGGUAGAGGUAGAAAGAGAGAACAGGUUACAGAGAGGUAGAGGUAGAAAGAGAGAACAGGUUACAGAGAGGUAGAAAGAGAGAACAGGUUACAGAGAGGUAGAGGUAGAAAGAGAGAACAGUUUACAGAGAGGUAGAGGUAGAAAGAGAGAACAGGUUACAGACAGGUAGAGAGAGAGAACAGGUUACAGAGAGAUAGAGGUAGAAAGAGAGAACAGGUUACAGAGAGGUAGAGGUAGAAAGAGAGAACAGGUUACAGAGAGGUAGAGAGAGAGAACAGGUUACAGAGAGGUAGAGGUAGAAAGAGAGAACAGGUUACAGAGAGGUAGAGGUAGAAAGAGAGAACAGGUUACAGAGAGGUAGAGGUAGAAAGAGAGAACAGGUUACAGAGGUAGAGGUAGAAAGAGAGAACAGGUUACAGAGGUAGAGGUAGAAAGAGAGAACAUGUUACAGAGAGGGAGAGGUAGAAAGAGAGAACAGGUUAGAGAGAGGUAGAGGUAGAAAGAGAGAACAGGUUACAGAGGUAGAGGUAGAAAGAGAGAACAGGUUACAGAGAGGUAGAGGUAGAAAGAGAGAACAGGUUACAGAGAGGUAGAGGUAGAAAGAGAGAACAGGUUACAGAGAGGUAGAGAGAGAGAACAGGUUACAGAGAGGUAGAGGUAGAAAGAGAGAACAGUUUACAGAGAGGUAGAGGUAGAAAGAGAGAACAGGUUACAGAGAGGUAGAGAGAGAGAACAGGUUACAGAGAGGUAGAGAGAGAGAACAGGUUACAGAGAGGUAGAAAGAGAGAACAGGUUACAGAGAGGUAGAGGUAGAAAGAGAGAACAGGUUACAGAGAGGUAGAGAGAGAGAACAGGUUACAGAGAGGUAGAGGUAGAAAGAGAGAACAGGUUACAGAGAGGUAGAGGUAGAGAGAGAGAACAGGUUACAGAGAGGUAGAGAGAGAGAACAGGUUACAGAGAGGUAGAGAGAGAGAACAGGUUACAGAGAGGUAGAGAGAGAGAACAGGUUACAGAGAGGUAGAGGUAGAAAGAGAGAACAGGUUACAGAGAGGUAGAAAGAGAGAACAGGUUACAGAGAGGUAGAGGUAGAAAGAGAGAACAGGUUACAGAGAGGUAGAGGUAGAAAGAGAGAACAGGUUACAGAGAGGUAGAGAGAGAGAACAGGUUACAGAGAGGUAGAGGUAGAAAGAGAGAACAGGUUACAGAGAGGUAGAGGUAGAAAGAGAGAACAGGUUACAGAGAGGUAGAGAGAGAGAACAGGUUACAGAGAGGUAGAGGUAGAAAGAGAGAACAGGUUACAGAGAGGUAGAGGUAGAAAGAGAGAACAGGUUACAGAGAGGUAGAGGUAGAAAGAGAGAACAGGUUACAGAGAGGUAGAGUUAGAAAGAGAGAACAGGUUACAGAGAGGUAGAGGUAGAGAGAGAGAACAGGUUACAGAGAGGUAGAGAGAGAGAACAGGUUACAGAGAGGUAGAGAGAGAGAACAGGUUACAGAGAGGUAGAGGUAGAAAGAGAGAACAGGUUACAGAGAGGUAGAGGUAGAAAGAGAGAACAGGUUACAGAGAGGCAGAGGUAGAAAGAGAGAACAGGUUACAGAGAGGUAGAGGUAGAAAGAGAAAACAGGUUACAGAGAGGUAGAGAGAGAGAAAAGGUUACAGAGAGGUAGAGGUAGAAAGAGAGAACAGGUUACAGAGAGGCAGAGGUAGAAAGAGAGAACAGGUUACAGAGAGGUAGAGGUAGAGAGAGAGAACAGGUUACAGAGAGGCAGAGGUAGAGGUAGAGGAGAGAGACCGAAGGGGAGGAGAAGAGGCAUUAUGGAAAUGUGGUGUAGGUGGUCAUUGAGGGAAGGGGACUGGAGAGAGAUGAGGAAAAGGAGAAAGGGAGAAGUGAGCGUUAUGGUGAGGCU